CGCGGCGGCGUUGUCAUUGGGUGUCACCGUCACGCAGAGGGGACAAAAGGACCCCCCUGGGGGCAUUGCGUCGAAGUUGGGGACACCGUGAGCAGCUUGAGGACUUCCCAGGGGAAGUGGGGGCACCGCGUCACCGUGUCACACCCCAAAGGUGGGGAUGCCCCCACAGUGUCACACCCAAAAGUUGGGACAGCUCUGUGUCACCCCGAUGGUGUCAGACCCCAAAGUUGGGACACCCCAAAGUUGGGGUCUGUCCCAGAGGUGGGAGUGCCCCCACAUCCCCACCAUGGCGUCACAUCCC
rnacentral:lncRNA from 1 species